rnacentral:lncRNA from 1 species
GCAGUAAAAAAUAUUUAAAAAAGAUCUUAUGUGUAAAACACUUCAAUGUGCCUUUUUUAUAUUUUUUUCUUUUUUAGGCCAACUCUCACGUGUUGGCGGAAAGUUACCAAAAUAUGUUAAGGACUUAAUUCAGAGAUAAUGUUGCUAAACGAUUUACAGUCGAUAUUCUUUCAAAAGCAGAAAAACUCAGUGUCAAACAAAGAAUACGCGAAUUAUUUGAGA